rnacentral:misc_RNA from 1 species
AAGUCGUAACAAGGUUUCCGUAGGUGAACCUGCGGAAGGAUCAUUAGCUUAACACCCACUUAAUGUUUCGAAAGGAACCUCUUAGUGAUUACUACGCUUGUGCACAUUAAACCUGUAUAUUUGGUAGUCCAGUUCCGAUUUUAUUAUUGGAACGUCUGGUUUCAAUAUUUUGUUGAUACUAGGGGCUGCCAAAAGUUUGCUAAACACAAACAACACUUACUUUUUUUUAAUAAAUAUUAUUAUAUUGUCUUAAACUAAAACUAUUAUUUUAUAAUAUAAAAUAACAACUUUUGACAACGGAUCUCUUGGCUCUC